CAAAAGCUUGGUCCUGGCUUUACUAUCUAUUAUUUCUUAAAUUACACAUGCAAGUCUCAGCACCCCAGUGAGGACCCCCUAUUGCCUCCCACAGGCCGAGGAGCUGGUAUCAGGCACAAAUCUUUUGCCCACAACACCUAGUCCCACCACACCCCCAAGGGUAGUCAGCAGUGAUAAAAAUUGUAAAUAAGCGCCAGCUUGAAGCAGUUAAAGAAAAGAGAGCCGGCCAAUCCGGUGCCAGCUGCCGCGGCUAUACCGUGAUGGCUCAAAUAGAUAUUUAUCGGCGUCAAGCGUGAUUAAAGUCUCCCGUAAUUAGAAUUAAAUUUAAGAUUAGCUGUAAAAAGCUGACCCCCUAGAAACCCAACAACGAAAGUUAUUCUAAUCUCUACUUGAAUACACGACAGCUGGGGGACAAACUGAGAUCAGACACCUCACUAUGCCCAGCCGUAAAAUUAACCAACACUAACAAACGCCCGGGUAUUACGAGCCCUCGCUUAAAAUCCAAAGGACUUGACGGUGUCCCACCCCCCUAGAGGAGCCUGUUCUGUAAUCGAUGACCCCCGCUACACCUCACCAUUUCUCGCUUCCACGCAGCCUGUAUACCUCCGUCGCAAGCUUACCACAUGAGUGAACCACAGCAAGCUCAAUGGUACCCCCACCAAUACGUCAGGUCAAGGUGCAGCCUAUGAAAUGGCACACAAUGGGCUACAAUUUCUAAUCUAGAACAAACGAAUUACCAUCUGAAACCCUGGUUAUGAAGGUGGAUUUAGCAGUAAGGGGAGAUAAUAGUGCUCCCCUUAAUAGCGGCCCUGGGACGCGUACAAACCGCCCGUCACCCCCUUCGAUAGCUUAUCCAUAAGUCAAUAACAAAAUAUCCGCGUCUUAGAAGGGGCAAGUCGUAACAUGGUAAGCGUACUGGAAGGUGUGCUUGGACA
rnacentral:ncRNA from 1 species